rnacentral:lncRNA from 1 species
UAAGAGGAUGUUUGGCUGAGCUUAUAAGCUUCUCAAAACAGCUUAUAAGUUGUUUAAGAGCUUAUAAGCUCAUUCAAAGUGUUUGGCAAAAUAAGCUCUCAAAUAACUUAUAAGCUCCAAAAAUAAGCUCCAAGAGCUUAUAAGCUCUCCAAAAAAUAAGUUCCUCUACCCCAACUUAUUUUUUUAUAAUCUCAUAUGCAGCAAUCAUUUUACAAAUAUUUUUCAACUAUAAUUUAUUAUUUUCAUUAUAUAUCAUUCAAGUUCAUUUUUCUUCGAUUUUAUCUCUCUAACAAAAAAUUCUCUCUCUAGCUUAUAAGCUCAAUUAUCCAAACACUUUGACAACUUAUAAACUCUUAAAAAUUACAUCUUAUAAGCUCUUGAAACAUCUUAUAAGCUCCAAGAGCUUAUAAGCUCUUUAAAAUAAGCUUAGCCAGACACCCUCUAA